rnacentral:rRNA from 1 species
ACCUCUGCAAUAGGCGAAAGCCUGACAGGGUUACUCUGAGUGAUUUCCGUUAAGGAGAUCUUUUGGCACCUCUAAAAAUGGUGCAGAAUAAGGGGUGGGCAAGUCUGGUGUCAGCCGCCGCGGUAAUACCAGCACCCCGAGUGGUCGGGACGUUUAUUGGGCCUAAAGCAUCCGUAGCCGGUUCUACAAGUCUUCCGUUAAAUCCACCUGCUUAACAGAUGGGCUGCGGAAGAUACUAUAGAGCUAGGAGGCGGGAGAGGCAAGCGGUACUCGAUGGGUAGGGGUAAAAUCCGUUGAUCCAUUGAAGACCACCAGUGGCGAAGGCGGCUUGCCAGAACGCGCUCGACGGUGAGGGAUGAAAGCUGGGGGAGCAAACCGGAUUAGAUACCCGGGUAGUCCCAGCUGUAAACGAUGCAGACUCGGUGAUGAGUUGGCUUCUUGCCAACUCAGUGCCGCAGGGAAGCCGUUAAGUUUGCCGCCUGGGGAGUACGGUCGCAAGACUGAAACUUAA